UGAGGAAUAUUGGUCAAUGGUCGGGAGACUGAACCAGCCAAGCCGCGUGAGGGAUGAAGGUACAGAGUAUCGUAAACCUCUUUUGUCAGGGAACAAAAGGCGCCACGUGUGGCGCUCCGAGUGUACCUGAAGAAAAGCAUUGGCUAACUCCGUGCCAGCAGCCGCGGUAAUACGGAGGAUGCGAGCGUUAUCCGGAUUUAUUGGGUUUAAAGGGUGCGUAGGCGGCGAGUUAAGUCAGCGGUAAAAUGCCCGGGGCUCAACCCCGGCCCGCCGUUGAAACUGGCUUGCUUGAGUUGGAGAGAAGUAGGCGGAAUGCGCGGUGUAGCGGUGAAAUGCUUAGAUAUCGCGCAGAACUCCGAUUGCGAAGGCAGCCUACCGGCUCCACACUGACGCUGAGGCACGAAAGCGUGGGUAUCGAACAGGAUUAGAUACC
rnacentral:rRNA from 1 species